UGGACCCUCAGCCUCUAUUUAGUCAGUCUCCAAGGACUGACUAGAUUCACAUCAAGACUUUGGAAAUUCCUCUACUCCUUCAAGAGAUGGGCUUGGGAAGUGGACUAAGCAAAGGCUGCAGAAGGCUUACAGACAUGAUCACAUCCUUGUCCAUGUACCUGAAGGCAGACAGGAACAUAAGUUGGCUCCUCUCUAGAUAAGAGACAUUGUAGGACACUGAGGAAACAUAACUUGAGCUCUUGAACUCAUUGAUGAGGACCAAAAAAAAAAAAAAAUGAAUGAACACCAGCAGAUGCUUUGGAAUACUGUUGAACAAUGGGUACCUGUCCAAUACUGCCAAAUAAUUGGUUUCGGAGAUCCUAUGAUAAACAGCAGUCAUCAUUAGAACUGACUGAAUGUUCUCUGGAAGGAGGAAUGGGAGGCUGGCCAAUCUAACAGGUUUUUUGAAAUAAGAUCACCACAUUAGUGGGCUAGUGAUAUGGGAACAUCAAGGAGCCCACAGUAAAAAAUUGUAUUUACGACAAAUACAAUUUGAAGAUCCUCCAACACAUGUGAUUUGUGAUUCCUUUGUCUCUGGACAUAU
rnacentral:lncRNA from 1 species